UGGCACCAAUAUGGUGACCUCCUGGGAGCAGGGGACCACCAAGUUGCCAGAGGAGAGAUGAACUGGCCCAGAUCAGAAAUGGAGCAGGUCAAAACUCCUGUGUUA
ensembl:misc_RNA Metazoa_SRP Metazoan signal recognition particle RNA